rnacentral:rRNA from 1 species
UACAGGGGGGGGCAAGCGUUGUUCGGAAUUACUGGGCGUAAAGGGCUCGUAGGCGGCCAACUAAGUCACACGUGAAAUCCCCAGGCUUAACCUGGGAACUGCGUGUGAUACUGGAUGGCUUGAAUUCGGGAGAGGGAUGCAGAAUUCCAGGUGUAGCGGUGAAAUGCGUAGAUAUCUGGAGGAAUACCGGUGGCGAAGGCGGCAUCCUGGACCGACAUCGACGCUGAUGAGCGAAAGCUAGGGGAGCAAACGGG